rnacentral:misc_RNA from 1 species
AAGACUAUAGACCUGCGGAGUACCUGCGGAGGGAUCAUUACCGAGUUAUCCAACUCCCAACCCCUGUGAAUUAUACCUUUAAUUGUUGCUUCGGCGGGACUCCGCGCCCGCCGGGGACCCAAACCUUCUGAAUUUUUAAUAAGUAUCUCCUGAGUGGUUAAAAAAAUGAAUCAAAACUUUUAACAACGGAUCUCU